rnacentral:lncRNA from 1 species
GAAAAUCUACUCUGGAGGACAACUUGGUGUUACAAAGGUGCUCAGUAGAUAGAGGGCUCAGAUCAUCUCCAGGGAGGAUGUUCAGUCCAGGGGCCUGUGCAAGAAUGGCCCAGGACCAAAUAGAAUGGGUGCAUCUCAGCAGAGCCCUUCUUCAGCAGCUAGGGCUGAAGAAUACCUAAGUCGGUGCUGUAGGAUGAAGCAUUCCCUGCCUCAGGUGAGGUGAAUUGAUUGGGAGCAUGCUCAGGGAAUCAGGGGGUGAUGGGGUGAUUCCAAGCAUGGUUUAAUCUCCCUUGAGAGCAGUUGGCAACAGUCCACUGGGGACACCAUUAGUGUUUGUCUUGGGUAAUUUUCUAGCCCCCGAAUAACCAAUGAUAGCCACGGCUAAAACAAGGAUGAAUCAUUUCCAAGAACAUAUUUCCC